rnacentral:rRNA from 1 species
UACGUAGGGUGCAAGCGUUAAUCGGAAUUACUGGGCGUAAAGCGUGCGCAGGCGGUGAUGUAAGACAGUUGUGAAAUCCCCGGGCUCAACCUGGGAACUGCAUCUGUGACUGCAUUGCUGGAGUGCGGCAGAGGGGGAUGGAAUUCCGCGUGUAGCAGUGAAAUGCGUAGAUAUGCGGAGGAACACCGAUGGCGAAGGCAGCCCCCUGGGCUGAGAUUGACGCUCAGGCACGAAAGCGUGGGGAGCAAACAGG